GAUGAACGCUAGCGGCAGGCCUAAUACAUGCCAGUCGAACGGGAUCCAGAUCAACGCUUGCUUUGGUUUGGUGCGAGUGGCGUACGGGUGCGUAACGCGUGAGCAACCUACCCUUGUCAGGGGGCUAGCCCGGCGAAAGUCGGAUUAAUACCGCAUGACAUCAUUGCGAGGCAUCUUUGGAUGAUCAAAGAUUUAUCGGACAAGGAUGGGCUCGCGUGACAUUAGCUCGUUGGUAAGGUAACGGCUUACCAAGGCUACGAUGUCUAGGGGCUAUGUGAGGAGAAUCCCCCAGACUGGAGCCGAGACACAGACCAGACUCCUACGGGAGGGAGCAGUAAGGAAUGUUGGGCGAUGGAGGGAGGUCUGAAACAGCCAUGCCGGGUGCAGAAAGACGGCGCUAGGGGUUGUAAGCUGCUUGUAAACGAGAACAAACGUCGGUACGUGGACCGGUCUGAGUGUACCGAAAGAAUAAGGAACGGCUAACUCCGUG
rnacentral:rRNA from 1 species